AAUUAAUCAUUAAUGUUAUUAACUACACUUUAUACUACAGAAGAGGUAAGUCAUUCAAGAAACGGAUAUAAGUCCAACUUAAAAUUUUUAUAGAACUCUAAAUAUACUAAUAAAUUUUAAUUUUAUUCAAAUAAGGUACAGCCUAUUUGAAACAGGAUACAACCUAUAACAGAGGGUAAUACCACAGUGAACGUGACUAAGUUGACCUAAAAGCAGCCACCUUUAAAAAAGCGUUAAAGCUUUCUCACACAUACUAUUAAUACCAACCUGCACCCAGAACCCCUUAUAAAUAUUGAAUGACUCCAUAAUAAUAUGGAAGACUCUAUGUCUGAACUAGUAACAAGAAUAAUUUCUCCAAUAAACGUAAAUGUAAGCCAAAAUGAAUACCUCAUCGGCACUUAUCGCCAAUAAGACUAUAGUAAUAACUAAACAAGAAAACUUUACUAUUUAAAGCGUUAACCUUACACUAGAACUUUUCUGGAAAGAUUAAAAAAAGGGGAAGGAACUCGGCAAAUAUUAACCCCGCCUGUUUACCAAAAACAUCGCCUUCUGACACACUAUAAAAGGUCCAGCCUGCCCAGUGAAACUUAAACGGCCGCGGUAUUUUGACCGUGCAAAGGUAGCAUAAUCACUUGUCUCUUAAAUAGAGACUGGUAUGAACGGCAUCACGAGGGUUAUACUGUCUCCCCCCUUUAAUCAGUGAAACUAAUCUCCCCGUGAAGAAGCGGGGAUAAUCUUAUAAGACGAGAAGACCCCAUGGAGCUUAAAACAAAUAAUACUUGCAUAAUUUUAUAUCAUCUAAAUACAGCAAACUACUUACUAGUUUUUAGUUGGGGUAACUAUGGAGUAAAACCAAAUCUCCACGACGAAAGAAAUAUAAUUCUAAUCAAAGAGCCACCCCUCGCAGAAUCAAAACAUUGACCAAAUGACCCAAUAAAAUUGAACAACGAACCAAGUUACCCUGGGGAUAACAGCGCAAUCCAUUUCAAGAGCCCCUAUCGACAAAUGGGUUUACGACCUCGAUGUUGGAUCAGGAUAUCCCAGUGGUGCAGCCACUACUAAAGGUUCGUUUGUUCAACGAUUAAAACCCU
rnacentral:rRNA from 1 species